UACGUAGGGUGCGAGCGUUGUCCGGAAUUACUGGGCGUAAAGAGCUCGUAGGUGGUUUGUCGCGUUGUUCGUGAAAACUCACAGCUUAACUGUGGGCGUGCGGGCGAUACGGGCAGACUUGAGUACUGCAGGGGAGACUGGAAUUCCUGGUGUAGCGGUGGAAUGCGCAGAUAUCAGGAGGAACACCGGUGGCGAAGGCGGGUCUCUGGGCAGUAACUGACGCUGAGGAGCGAAAGCGUGGGGAGCGAACAGG
rnacentral:rRNA from 2 species